UACAGAGGUCUCAAGCGUUGUUCGGAUUCAUUGGGCGUAAAGGGCGCGUAGGCGGCGGGGUAAGUCUGGUGUGAAAUCUCGGAGCUCAACUCCGAAAUUGCACUGGAUACUGCUCUGCUUGAGGGUUGGACGAGGAGAUCGGAAUUCACGGUGUAGCAGUGAAAUGCGUAGAUAUCGUGAGGAAGACCAGUGGCGAAGGCGGAUCUCUGGACAAAUCCUGACGCUGAGGCGCGAAGGCUAGGGGAGCAAACGGG
rnacentral:rRNA from 1 species